AUUGAACGCUGGCGGCAGGCCUAACACAUGCAAGUCGAACGAGUGGCGGACGGGUGAGUAAUUUCUGGGAAACUGCCUGAUGGAGGGGGAUAACUACUGGAAACGGUAGCUAAUACCGCAUACCAUCAGAUGUGCCCAGAUGGGAUUAGCUUGUUGGUGGGGUAAAGGCUCACCAAGGCGACGAUCCCUAGCUGGUCUGAGAGGAUGACCGGCCACACUGGAACUGAGACACGGGCCAGACUCCUACGGGAGGCAGCAGUUGGGAAUAUUGCACAAUGGGCGCAAGCCGGAUGGAGCCACGCCGCGUGUAUGAAGAAGGCCUUCGGGUUGUAAAGCACUGUUAGCGGGGAGGCGGUACCCGCAGAAGAAGCACCGGCUAACUCCGUGCCAGCCGCCGCGGUAAUUC
rnacentral:rRNA from 1 species